rnacentral:rRNA from 1 species
GUAGUCUGCAACCCGGCCUACAUGAAGCUGGGAUCGCUAGUAAUCGCGGAUCAGAAUGCCGCGGUGAAUACGUUCCCGGGUCUUGUACACACCGCCCGUCACACCAUGGGAGCCGGAAAUGCCCGAAGUCAGUGACCCAACCGCAAGGAGGGAGCUGCCGAAGGUGGAGCUGGUAACUGGGGUGAAGUCGUAACAAGGUAGC